rnacentral:lncRNA from 1 species
UCUAUAAUAAGUAUAUAUCUAUAAUUUUUUGUGUAUAUAUAAUAUUUUGUAUAUAUGUAGAUUUUUAUAUGGAGAGUUUGUAUGUACUUGUAUAUGUAUAUAAAGUUUGUAUGUAUAAAGUUUAUAUAUAUAAGUUUAUAUGUAUAAAGAUUUUUAUAUGGCGGGAGAGAGAGAGAGAGAGAGAGAGAGAGAGAGAGAGAGAGAGA